AUUGAACGCUGGCGGCAUGCCUUACACAUGCAAGUCGAACGGCAGCACGGGUGCUUGCACCUGGUGGCGAGUGGCGAACGGGUGAGUAAUACAUCGGAACGUACCUUAUCGUGGGGGAUAACGCAGCGAAAGCUGUGCUAAUACCGCAUACGCCCUGAGGGGGAAAGCGGGGGAUCGAAAGACCUCGCGCGAUUAGAGCGGCCGAUGCCUGAUUAGCUUGUUGGUGGGGUAAAAGCCCACCAAGGCGACGAUCAGUAGCUGGUCUGAGAGGACGAUCAGCCACACCGGUACUGAGACACGGCCCAGACUCCUACGGGAGGCAGCAGUGGGGAAUUUUGGACAAUGGGGGCAACCCUGAUCCAGCCAUGCCGCGUGCGGGAAGAAGGCCUUCGGGUUGUAAACCGCUUUUGUCAGGGAAGAAACGCUCUGGGCUAAUACCCCGGGGUAAUGACGGUACCUGAAGAAUAAGCACCGGCUAACUACGUGCCAGCCGCCGCCGUAA
rnacentral:rRNA from 1 species